GAUGAAUGCUGGCGGCGUGCCUAACACAUGCAAGUCGAGCGGCAGCGCGAGUAGUUUACUACUUGGCGGCGAGCGGCGGACGGAUGAGUAACGCGUGGGAACGUGCCCCAAAGUGAGGGAUAACGCACCGAAAGGUGUGCUAAUACCGCAUAUGAUCUUCGGAUUCAAGAAUUUAUUCGCUUUGGGAGCGGCCCGCGUCGGAUUAGGUAGUUGGUAGGGUAAUGGCCUACCAAGCCGACGAUCCGUAGCUGGUCUGAGAGGAUGACCAGCCAGACUGGAACUGAGACACGGUCCAGACUCCUACGGGAGGCAGCAGUGAGGAAUCUUCCACAAUGGGCGAAAGCCUGAUGGAGCAACGCCGCGUGCAGGAUGAAGGCCUUCGGGUUGUAAACUGCUUUUAUAAGUGAAGAAUAUGACGGUAACUUAUGAAUAAGCACCGGCUAACUACGUGCCAGCAGCCGCCGCCG
rnacentral:rRNA from 1 species